rnacentral:rRNA from 1 species
GACGAACGCUGGCGGCGUGCCUAAUACAUGCAAGUCGAGCGGACCAAUAGAAAAGCUUGCUUUUCUUGAGGUUAGCGGCGGACGGGUGAGUAACACGUGGGCAACCUACCUGUAAGACUG